GUAAAUAUAGUUUAAAAAAACAUUAGAUUGUGAUUCUAAAAACAGAAGCUAAACCUUCUUAUUUACC
rnacentral:tRNA from 1 species